rnacentral:rRNA from 1 species
CUUCCUACGGGACGCAGCAGUGAUGAAUCUUGGUCAAUUGUCUAGAGCCUGAACCAGCCAAGUCGCGUGAGGGAGUACUGCCCUAUGGGUUGUAAACCUCUUUUGUCGAGGAGCAAAAGCCGGACGUGUCCGUCUGUGAGAGUACCCGAAGAAAAAGCAUCGGCUAACUCCGUGCCAGCAGCCGCGGUAAUACGGAGGAUGCGAGCGUUAUCCGGAUUUAUUGGGUUUAAAGGGUGCGCAGGCGGAUUUUUAAGUCAGCGGUCAAAUCGUGGGGCUCAACCCCAUCAAGCCGUUGAAACU